GUGCUCACUGCAGCAGCAAAAACACUAAAACUGGAACAAUACAGAGAAGGUGAACAUGGCCCCUGGACAAGGACAACGUGCAAAUUCACAAAGCAUUUCAUAAUUUU
rfam:Tupaia chinensis contig168125, whole genome shotgun sequence.